GAUGAACGCUAGCUACAGGCUUAACACAUGCAAGUCGAGGGCAGCACAAGGCAGCAAUGCUGAGUGGCGACCGGCGCACGGGUGCGUAACGCGUAUCCAAUUUCCCGUUACUCAGGGAUAGCCUUCCGAAAAGGGGAGAUUAAUACCUGAUGGUGUUUGAAGUUCGCAUGUUCUUCAAACUAAAGAUUUAUCGGUAACGGAUAGGGAUGCGUGACAUUAGGUAGUAGGCGGGGUAACGGCCCACCUAACCAACGAUGGAUAGGGGUUCUGAGAGGAAGGUCCCCCACAUUGGAACUGAGACACGGUCCAAACUCCUACGGGAGGCAGCAGUGAGGAAUAUUGGGCAAUGGGGGAAACCCUGACCCAGCAACGCCGCGUGAAGGAAGAAGGCCUUCGGGUUGUAAACUUCUUUUAGCAGGGACGAAGGACGUGACGGUACCUGCAGAAAAAGCAACGGCUAACUACGUG
rnacentral:rRNA from 1 species